rnacentral:rRNA from 1 species
CUUGGUAUUUAGAGGAAGUAAAAGUCGUAACAAGGUUUCCGUAGGUGAACCUGCGGAAGGAUCAUUACCGAGUGAGGGCCCUCUGGGUCCAACCUCCCACCCGUGUUUAUUUUACCUUGUUGCUUCGGCGGGCCCGCCUUAACUGGCCGCCGGGGGGCUCACGCCCCCGGGCCCGCGCCCGCCGAAGACACCCUCGAACUCUGUCUGAAGAUUGAAGUCUGAGUGAAAAUAUAAAUUAUUUAAAACUUUCAACAACGGAUCUCUUGGUUCCGGCAUCGAUGAAGAACGCAGCGAAAUGCGAUACGUAAUGUGAAUUGCAAAUUCAGUGAAUCAUCGAGUCUUUGAACGCACAUUGCGCCCCCUGGUAUUCCGGAGGGCAUGCCUGUCCGAGCGUCAUUGCUGCCCUCAAGCCCGGCUUGUGUGUUGGGCCCCGUCCUCCGAUCUCCGGGGGACGGGCCCGAAAGGCAGCGGCGGCACCGCGUCCGGUCCUCGAGCGUAUGGGGCUUUGUCGCCCGCUCUGUAGGCCCGGCCGGCGCUUGCCGAUCAACCCAAAUUUUUAUCCAGGUUGACCUCGGAUCAGGUAGGGAUACCCGCUGAACUUAAGCAUAUCAAUAAGCGGAGGA